rnacentral:rRNA from 1 species
UUAGAACUGAUUCGGGCAAGGGGAAUCCGACUGUUUAAUUGAAACAAAGCAUUGCGAGGGCCUCAAAGGGUGGUGCCACAAUGUGAUUUCUGCCCAGUGCUCUGAAUGUCAAAGUGAGGAAAUUCAACUAAGCGCGGGUAAACGGCGGGAGUAACUAUGACUCUCUUAAGGUAGCCAAAUGCCUCGUCAUCCAAUUAGUGACGCGCAUGAAUGGAUUAAUGAGAUUCCCACUGUCCCCAUCUACUGUCCAGCGAAACCACAGCCAAGGGAACGGGCUUGGGUAAAUCAGCGGGGAAAGAAGACCCUGUUGAGCUUGACUCUAAUCUGACUUUGUGAAAUGACUUAGGAGGUGUAGGAUAUGUGGGAGCUCUGGUGAUCUUGAAAUACCACUACUUUAAUGUCACUUUACUUACUCUAUCAGACUGUGGCCUGCUUCCCAGCAGGUUUUUGUUUCAAGGCAUCUCAUCUGACUUGUUGACUUGCGUAGAGGACGUAGUCAGGUGGGCAGUUUGGCUGGGGCGGCACAUCUGUUAAAGGAUAACGCAGGUGUCCCAAGGUAAGCUCAAGGAGAACAGAAAUCUCAUGUGGAUCAGAA